UGUUGCUAAAUAUUUCUGUUCUAGUGAAUAUUUAAUAAAUAAAUUUAGUAUGGUCACGUGCCAAGUUGUUUCAACUAAUGAAUAUUGAAUUGCACGUCUUAAGUGAUGGCCAGAAGUCAAACACUUUUCAAUCAAUUCAAGAAAGCAUCCUAAAGUUCAUGUUCUCCGGAGCCUAAAUAUGCCGGAUUUGUACUAUAUGAAUGUAUUUUAAUAAUAAUUAUUUUAGAACUUGGUAUAUCAAUGUCAAUUCAUAAAAAUGAUGUAGAGGCAGUGGCAGAUUGUCGAAGGAGAGUAAUCUUACUUCAGGCUUCUUUGACCUGUAUUGAAGUGUGUGGAUUAGACAAAUCUCCUUUACGGGAAUCAUGAAAGAGUUUCCCUCUCACACAGUCACGACUAGGAGAGCAUUCUGAUGUAGAAUCAGGCGAUAAUUCUGAUAGAGGGUAAAC